rnacentral:rRNA from 1 species
AGAACGAACGCUGGCGGCAGGCUUAACACAUGCAAGUCGAACGCUUCCUUCGGGGAGAGUGGCAGACGGGUGAGUAACACGUGGGAACGUACCCCUUUGUUCGGAAUAACCCUGGGAAACUAGGGCUAAUACCGGAUACGGCCGAGAGGCGAAAGGUUUACCGCAGAGGGAUCGGCCCGCGUCCGAUUAGCUUGUUGGUGAGGUAAUGGCUCACCAAGGCAUCGAUCGGUAGCUGGUCUGAGAGGAUGACCAGCCACAUUGGGACUGAGACACGGCCCAAACUCCUACGGGAGGCAGCAGUGGGGAAUAUUGGACAAUGGGCGCAAGCCUGAUCCAGCCAUGCCGCGUGAGUGAUGACGGCCUUAGGGUUGUAAAGCUCUUUUACCUGGGAAGAUCAUGACGGUACCAGGAGAAUAAGCCCGGCUAACUUCGUGCCAGCAGCCGC